rnacentral:tRNA from 1 species
GCUCCUGUAGCUCAGUGGUUAGAGCGACGGUCUUAUGAGCCGUAAGUCGAGGGUUCGAACCCCGCUGGGAGUA